GCGUCUGAAAUUUUUUUUUUGAAAACCUGACCCCAGAGUAUGCCAGAUCCGCCACAAAUACAGGAGGUCCACUGUUCACACGGACAGAGUCUCCCCUGUAUUUGCACGGCGUCGCACAAGUACAAUAGUCAAACAUGAUACAACCACAACUAGAUGAACAUACAAAUAACCAACAGUUAUACAUUCAUACACCAUUCACCACAGUUUCACAUUUAUACAUUCAAUAUUUAAAUAUAAAUCCACAUCUAUCAGUUAAAAUGUUUCCAACCACAGAAACAGGUUUUGAAAUACUAAGAUACAAAAUCCACAGAAAACCUUUUGAAAACUGUUCCCUACACAUAAACUUUUAUCUUUUUAAAAACGCUACCACGAGGGGCAGAAAACCAUUUUUAUUUUACAAAAUUCACAAACCAGUUUAUUACAUUCAUGAAAACCCAUAUUUUCAAAUGUAAUAAAAAUACUGAACCAUAUAAACUAUCUAAGCUAUAACAACAAAAUA
rnacentral:lncRNA from 1 species